rnacentral:rRNA from 1 species
AAUAUUGUCGUAUGCGGCAGACGCGAAACCAGGUGAUCUACCCAUGAGCAGGUUGAAGCGCGGGUUAAACUGCGUGGAGGACCGAACCCACUUAGGUUGAAAACUGAGGGGAUGACUUGUGGGGAGGACUGAAAGUGUAAUCAAACCAGGAGAUAGCUCGUUCUCUCCGAAAUAUCUUGAGGGAUAGCGUCGAGUAAAUUAGUUACCGGGGGUAGAGAUACUGAAUCGGAUGGGGGCUCUUCCCAGAGUACCCCACCGAACCAAACUCCGAAUACCGGUUAACCUUACCUCGGCAGUCAGUCCCUGGGGGAUAAGCUCCAGGGUCGAGAGGGAAACAACCCAGAUCGCCUGCUAAGGUCCCGAAGGACCACUUAGUCACUAAGGAAGUUGAAAUGCUGUGACAGCUGGGAUGUUGGCUUAGAAGCAGCCACCAUUUAAAAAGUGCGUAACAGCUUACCAGUCGAGCAUUUCUGCGCCGAUAAUGAACGGGAGUAAGUGGUACACCGAAGCAGCGGAUUCUAACCUUUUGGUUAGAGUGGUAGGAGAGCGCCGAUGAUCAGAUACAAGCCGUACGGUAACGAGCGGUGUUGGGGUCAUCGGGUGAUUAUGCCGGAAUGAGUAACGAUAAAACAGGUGAGAAUCCUGUUCGCCGAAAGCCUAAGGUUUCCUGGGGAAGGUAAAUCCGCCCAGGGUUAGCCGGUCCCUUACCCGAGGCUGAAAAGCGUAGGGGAUGGAUAGCAGGUCAAUAUUCCUGCGCCGGUUGUGUAUUCGAUGUGAGGACGGCGUCCAGAAAGUGAGCGGUACGAAUAGAAAUGUCCGUAGCGAAAGCUGAGAGAUUCGGGGUUAAAAUACCGAUGUUUAUCAAGGCUGAGCUCGAGAGCGUUUAAGUUCUCGAAGUCAUUGGAAGGACGUCCAAGAAAAGUCACUAGGUUAAGCAACUGACCGUACUAAAACUGACACAGGUAGGUGAGAAGAGAAUUCUAAGGCGCUCGGGAGAACGGUGGUUAAGGAACUCUGCAAAAUGGCCCCGUACGUUCGCAAUAAGGGGCGCCUUGGUUGGUUUACGCUGACCGAGGCCACAGAAAAUCGGCUCUAACGACUGUUUAUCAAAAACACAGGUCUCUGCUAACACGCAAGUGGAUGUAUAGAGACUGACGCCUGCCCGGUGCUAGUAGGUUAAGGAAGACGGUUAUCCCUUCGGGGAGAAGCUGGCGACCGAAGCCCUAGUAAACGGCGGCCCUAACUAUGAGGGUCCUAAGGUAGCGAAGUUCCUUGUCGGGUAAGUUCCGACCUGCAUGAAAGGCGUAACGAUUUGAGCACUGUCUCAACCACCGACCCGGUGAAAUUGUAGUUGUGGUGAAGAUGCCACAUACCCGCGGUUAGACGGAAAGACCCCGUGAACCUUUACUGUAGGCUGAUAUUGGGUUGAGAUAUGUUCUGUGUAGGAUAGCUGGGAGACUUUGAACCAGUAGCGCUAGCUACCGGGGAGUCGUUGUUGAAAUACCAGCCUGGUCAUAUUUUAAUUCUAACUUUGAUCCCCUGAAUCGGGGCAAAGGACAGUGUCAGUCGGGCAGUUUGACUGGGGCGGUCUCCUCCCAAAGAGUAACGGAGGAGUGCAAAGGUACACUCAGCCUGGACAGCAAUCAGGCAAAGAGCGUAAAGGUAGAAGUGUGCUUGACUGCGAGACGUAUAUGUCGAGCAGGUACGAAAGUAGGCCUUAGUGAUCCGGUAAUCCCGAAUGGAAGGGUUAUCGCUCAUCAGAUAAAAGGUACUCCGGGGAUAACAGGCUUAUCGCAUCCGAGCGUCCAUAGCGGCGAUGCGGUUUGGCACCUCGAUGUCGGCUCAUCACAUCCUGGGGGUGAAGAAGCUCCCAAGGGUUUGGCUGUUCGCCAAUGAAAGUGGUACGUGAGCUGGGUUCAGACCGUCGUGAGACAGGUCGGUCCCUAUCUGCUGUGGGCGUUCGAAACUUGAGGAGGUUCUUCUUUAGUACGAGAGGAUUUAGAAGGACGUAGCUCUGGUGUACCAGUUGUCGCGCUAGCGGCACGGCUGGGUAGCUAACUACGGAAAGGAUAAACGCUGAAAGCAUCUAAGCGUGAAGCCCGCUCUGAGAUUAGGUUUCGUAUGUCUUUUGACGAAAGCCCCCAAGAAGACGACUUGGUUGAUAGGCUGGACGUGUAAGUGCAGUAAUGCAUUAAGCUAACCAGUACUAACGGGCGAAUAUUUGGCCGU